CUUAUUAACAGCAACUAUAAACAAAUUGGACUGCUCAUCUUCACGCAAAACGAUAAUGAUAUGAUUGCAGGUUCGUUUUUGAAACAUUGCUGGAUGGUAAUAGGAGCUAUGUCCUUCUUAUGAAGGUUGCUGCUCCCCUAAGUCCCCCUGCAUCCUAAGCACCCUAACCCUGAUUCUUUCAUAGCCUUAAAGUGGUCUUAAUCCACCACUCAUUUAAGAUCAAAUACGCCGUAAUAUGUUUGGAG